AUAAUUUUGAAUUUUAUUUUAGAUGUGUUUAAAGAUUUUGAUUAUGAAUGAUCAUCUUUUGGAAAUUUAUUCUACAUCACAUCUAAAAUGAGUAAAUCCUUUCUGAAUUUCAUUAAAAAAAACACAUGAAAUAUUCUAACAAACAAUAUUUUUUAUACUUUAUUGGAUUUGUUACUCAUCAUAUGAGUUGUUAUUCAAACACAUAUACAACGAAAAAUAUAACACUUUGGUGUUAAACCACGUGCACACAAAGUAUUUGGACAAUCGGCAUCAGUAACGCACUUAAUACCUCCGGCUGUAUUAACAAAAUAAAAUAAAAAGAAUGUUACUAAAAUGAGAAAUAAUAUUGUGUAAAAAGUGAAGAAUUUUUUCUAAUAGACAAAAAAGACUUACUUACCAUUGACGAUCGAUGUAAAAAGAAAGAAAGAAAGAAAGAUGAACAUAACAUAAACAAAGUUAAUAAAUUGUUCCAUACUUUCCACCCUCUGAAUGAAUCGAAUAGGAUAUGAUUUUAUCUCUUUAUGAUUUAUAAAUCUUAUGUUCUUCUUAUAUCAAUUAAAAAAAUUUAUUAAUAUUUAAAAAAUCAAAUUAGAUCAAAUCGAACGGUUGAAUUAAUUGUACUGAAAACCAA
rnacentral:lncRNA from 1 species